rnacentral:rRNA from 1 species
GUGGGGAAUUUUGGACAAUGGGCGCAAGCCUGAUCCAGCAAUGCCGCGUGCAGGAAGAAGGCCUUCGGGUUGUAAACUGCUUUUGUACGGAACGAAAAGGCUCUGGUUAAUACCUGGGGCACAUGACGGUACCGUAAGAAUAAGCACCGGCUAACUACGUGCCAGCAGCCGCGGUAAUACGUAGGGUGCAAGCGUUAAUCGGAAUUACUGGGCGUAAAGCGUGCGCAGGCGGUGCUGUAAGACAGGCGUGAAAUCCCCGGGCUUAACCUGGGAAUGGCGCUUGUGACUGCAGUGCUGGAGUGUGGCAGAGGGGGAUGGAAUUCCGCGUGUAGCAGUGAAAUGCGUAGAUAUGCGGAGGAACACCGAUGGCGAAGGCAAUCCCCUGGACCUGUACUGACGCUCAUGCACGAAAGCGUGGGGAGCAAACAGGAUUAGAUACCCCUGUAGUCC